rnacentral:lncRNA from 1 species
CUCCAGGUUUCAAAUGGGUCCUUGACUCAGUUUUGUGGCUGUGGGAGCAGUCAUGACGUCAGACCUGGGAACUGUGAUGUCACUGAGGAAUAAUCACACAUAAUUGGAGAAGACAGCAGGAAAAAGGAAGUAAACAAAUGUGUUUAUCCACAAACCCUCCUACCACGAGGAACUGGAAUCUCCAAUGGUAAUUUACCACACGUUGCUAAUGUGUUUGUUAUAAUGAACUUCUUAAUUCUUUUUUCCUUUGAUUCUGGCUGCACAGGAAGGUUCAUCAGGGCUGGAACAAGCAGGGGAAGCAGAUUGGGAUGAGCAUUACGGAUCUGCCGUGCUCUGGUUUAUGGUUUGUUCCCAGCAAUACACACUUGCUGCAGCCAGUGCUGUGUCCCAGACCUGAUGUACCUGGAAAAGGGUUUAGCUCAGCUGAUGAAGAAAUCCCAGCCUUUUAGCAGGAAUGUCACCAGCAGCAGCUGACAGGUAACUGUCCUGUGACCUGGAGUGAUCUGGAAUAUUUUAGUUGUUAUUUUGCAUUUUGCAGUCACAUCAUGGCCAGCCUGAGGGUGUGGGGUUUGGUGGGGGCCUGUUUGGACAGAGAAAAAAAGGGAGGAAAAGCAGAGGAAAAGACUGAAGUGCUGGAAAGGAGCAGGAAAAAACAGGCAUGAAAAGGAAAUGGAUGGAAUGACAGUGAAUGGCAAAGAAAAAAAAAAAAAAGAAAGAAAAUGUAUGAAGGGAAAGGUAUGAAAAGAAAGCUGAGGGAGAAGCAGAGAUGAGGAGGAGGAGGAAGAGCUGUC